UACGGAGGGUGCAAGCGUUAUCCGGAUUCACUGGGUUUAAAGGGUGCGUAGGUGGGUUGGUAAGUCAGUGGUGAAAUCUCCGGGCUUAACCUGGAAACUGCCAUUGAUACUAUCAAUCUUGAAUACCUUGGAGGUGAGCGGAAUAUGUCAUGUAGCGGUGAAAUGCUUAGAUAUGACAUAGAACACCUAUGCGAAGGCAGCUUACUACGCAGAGAUUGACGCUCAUGCACGAAAGCGUGGGAUCAAACAGGAUUAGAUACCCCGUG
rnacentral:rRNA from 1 species